rfam:Medicago truncatula strain A17 chromosome 7, whole genome shotgun sequence.
GUGGGUACAAGAAAUCUACUUUAUUCAGCACACUAACCUAAUUUCCGAGACAUGUUACAUACCUGAAACAUGUCUUAGAAAUUAGGGUUUUUCUUGGUUAGUGUGCUGAAAAAAGUAGAUUCUUUGUACCCA